GGGUGAGCCAGAGGCAGAGGAUGCUGAUUUGCCUUGGAUGCCGCCUAAGAGCCAACCACAGCGACUCUUCCAGUGGGACGAUGACAGGAGGAGGGGAAGAGAGAGGGCGGGGGCGGGGGAGGAGCCCUUCCACCGAGGCUUACUGGGUAAUUCCCGAUUGCGUGAGAGCGUCUUAGAGCCGCAGCCCUGAGCAAGGUCCAGACAUGGGCAAGUCAUUCCAAGUGAAAAAAGGUUAUAACCACAAAAAGACAGAACAUUUCGUUCUGAGUGGGAGGAAGACAGCUGGGCAAGGCCAAUGGAAAGGCCCCCCCCCCCCAGCCAGCCUUGCUUUUAAAGGACUGAUACCAUUUCCCAAAUGUUUUAAGCAUAACAUCUUUUUCCCCCCACCGACUGCUCAUUUUCUCGCGGCCAUCGGCUUGAAUGCAGCUAUUUGUGUCCUCUUUUUCUCAGGUGCUUGUCUCUUUUCCUGGAGAUUGGCAAGGACUUAAUUAGAUUGUACCUAGAAGGUGCAGUAAAAGCUGGGAAGAAGCUGGUGUGACAGCACAAGUUAGAUUGCUAAAGGCGACCCUAAUUGUUUUGCCAACCAGGGACAUUUUCGCACUUGCUCUUGAUAACUCCUGGGAGGUGCAGGGACAAGCGGGUGCCUUUGGAGGCCUGGUGUACGGUUUGGGGAGCCAACAAACGCCUGCGGUGGACUCACCUGGGGAGCUUGCAAAGGCCUGUGCCCAGCUUCCAAACCCUCACCCCCUUGAUCCACGUGGCCAGUUGAGCCCGACGUGCGGCCAAGGUUAAGAACCAUUGCUCUGGAGUUCUCGCCGUGGUUCAACAGGAGCAGCAGUGUCUCCGGAGCACCAAGACGCAGUCUUCCAUCGUCUUCCUCUAUUCCGACCCCAGGUGUGGCUUCAUGUGCUGGAACAUCGCUCCUGUCUGGAAGUGCUCCUGCACGUUGGUGAGGUUAGUUUUGCACCUGCAAUGUCUGGGUUGAGGAGUGCAAAAGACAGCAAAGGAAGACGCGUGGGACAGUGCGGGACCCACGGGGUCAGUCCUUAGUGGAGAAUUUGUCCUCUUUGUUCUUAGAUGGUGGCAGCAGGACGUUCACCAGUAGAACAGCAGCAACACAGCAGCAGAGCCCAGCGGAGGAAGGUCUUCUGGGCUGGGGCUGCCCGCUUUGCCCACAUGCCUCCUCUGCUAGUUCCUGUCUUGCCCUGCCCACCCUCUCCGGGCCAUCUCUUUUUCAUUCAUUUCCUGCCUCCUCUAUUUAUCUGCAUCAGUCACACGUGUUUCGAAGGGGAGCCCAUUCCCUCUGCCUACCCAAGCUGUCUUCCCAGCAGCCCACCCCCUUCCUUCCCAAGUGACUUUGGUGACCCGGAGUUUGUAAGCGCAUUGUCCCAAUACAGGCAACCGGAAGUGAUUUGCGUCACAAGGAAGGCUGGGCAAUAAGGCUGUAGGUGAUUCCUUACUCUACACAAUGACAGGGAGUGUCAUGGCUCUGAGUGGCUGUUUCUUGGGAGUUCCCUGGUGGUCUAGUGGUUAGGAUUCGAUGCUUUCACCAUGGUGGCCCAGGUUCCA